GACGAACGCUGGCGGCGUGCUUAACACAUGCAAGUCGAACGGUGAAGCGCCUUCCUUUUUGGUGGGUGUGGUUGAGUGGCGAACGGGUGAGUAACACGUGAGUAACCUGCCCCCUUCUUCUGGAUAACCGCAUGAAAGUGUGGCUAAUACGGGAUAUUCUGGGUCUGUCGCAUGUUGGGUUUGGGAAAGAUAUUGUUUCGGUGGGGGAUGGUCUCGCGGCCUAUCAGCCUUUUGGUGGGGUGAUGGCCUACCAAGGCGGUGACGGGUUGCAGGCUUAAGAGGGUGGACGGUCACACUGGGACUGGGACACGGCCCAGACUCCUCCGGGAGGCAGCAGUGGUGAAUAUUGAACAGUGGGCGCAAGGCUGAUGCAGCGACGCCGCGUGAGGGAUGGAGGCCUUCGGGUUGUGAACCUCUUUCGCCAGUGAAGCAGGCCUGCCUCGUUUGUGGAUGGGUUGACGGUAGCUGGAUAAGAAGCGCCGGCUAACUACGUG
rnacentral:rRNA from 1 species